GCCCGCCUGGCCAAUCGGUAGAGGUGAGUGGCACCCGGCUUGCCCCGGGGAAACGCCACAGAGUUCCGGGUUCGAAUCCCGGGGCGGGUAC
rnacentral:tRNA from 1 species